AGUGAGGAAUAUUGGUCAAUGGGUGCAAGCCUGAACCAGCCAUGCCGCGUGCAGGAUGACGGUCCUAUGGAUUGUAAACUGCUUUUGUACGGGAAGAAACACUCCGACGUGUCGGAGCUUGACGGUACCGUAAGAAUAAGGAUCGGCUAACUCCGUGCCAGCAGCCGCGGUAAUACGGAGGAUCCAAGCGUUAUCCGGAAUCAUUGGGUUUAAAGGGUCCGUAGGCGGUCUUGUAAGUCAGUGGUGAAAGCCCAUCGCUCAACGAUGGAACGGCCAUUGAUACUGCAGGACUUGAAUUAUUGGGAAGUAACUAGAAUAUGUAGUGUAGCGGUGAAAUGCUUAGAGAUUACAUGGAAUACCAAUUGCGAAGGCAGGUUACUACCAAUGGAUUGACGCUGAUGGACGAAAGCGUGGGUAGCGAA
rnacentral:rRNA from 1 species